rnacentral:ncRNA from 1 species
UAGAGUUUACGGCAUCUCUCAAAUGCCGUUGGUGCGGAUGGGACUCUCUCCCGCCUGGUUUCCAAUUUCCAGUAAAAGAAUUGGUGGCGAGCCUGAGU